rnacentral:rRNA from 1 species
AUGGCGGCCUUCAUGUUGCUCAGUGAACAUCUCAUGGCGUACAGGCCGCGAUGCACAAAUUGCCAUGAACAGGGCCACGGUGAACAGGUUCAUGGCAAAGGGUAUACCGGCGUACAUGUUUUGUAUCACGCUCUUGGAGGAGACGAAGUGGUGCAACCGGAGCUCGCUGACGACGCAGCCCGAGACUCGCCUUUCCCUUCAUGGUGA